GUGAGGAAUAUUGGACAAUGGGCGCAAGCCUGAUCCAGCCAUGCCGCGUGCAGGAAGACGCAUCUAUGGUGUGUAAACUGCUUUUGUACGGGAAGAAACACUCCCUCGUGAGGGAGCUUGACGGUACCGUAAGAAUAAGGAUCGGCUAACUCCGUGCCAGCAGCCGCGGUAAUACGGAGGAUCCAAGCGUUAUCCGGAAUCAUUGGGUUUAAAGGGUCCGUAGGCGGUGUAAUAAGUCAGUGGUGAAAGCCCAUCGCUCAACGAUGGAACGGCCAUUGAUACUGUUAGACUUGAAUUACAAGGAAGUAACUAGAAUAUGUAGUGUAGCGGUGAAAUGCUUAGAUAUUACAUGGAAUACCAAUUGCGAAGGCAGGUUACUACUUGUGGAUUGACGCUGAUGGACGAAAGCGUGGGGAGCGAACAGGAUUAGAUACCCUAGUAGUCC
rnacentral:rRNA from 1 species